rnacentral:ncRNA from 2 species
AUCUUAUCAAGAGCGGUGGAGGGGCCUGGCCCUGUGAAGCCCGGCAACCGGUUAUAGUGAGUAAGUCACGGUGCCAAUUCCAGCAGAGUGCAUAUGCUCUGAAAGAUAAGAA